UGAAGGACGUGCUAAUCUGCGAUAAGCGUCGGUAAGGUGAUAUGAACCGUUAUAACCGGCGAUUUCCGAAUGGGGAAACCCAGUGUGUUUCGACACACUAUCAUUAACUGAAUCCAUAGGUUAAUGAGGCGAACCGGGGGAACUGAAACAUCUAAGUACCCCGAGGAAAAGAAAUCAACCGAGAUUCCCCCAGUAGCGGCGAGCGAACGGGGAGCAGCCCAGAGCCUGAAUCAGUGUGUGUGUUAGUGGAAGCGUCUGGAAAGGCGCGCGAUACAGGGUGACAGCCCCGUACACAAAAAUGCACAURCUGUGAGCUCGAUGAGUAGGGCGGGACACGUGGUAUCCUGUCUGAAUAUGGGGGGACCAUCCUCCAAGGCUAAAUACUCCUGACUGACCGAUAGUGAACCAGUACCGUGAGGGAAAGGCGAAAAGAACCCCGGCGAGGGGAGUGAAAAAGAACCUGAAACCGUGUACGUACAAGCAGUGGGAGCACGCUUMGGCGUGUGACUGCGUACCUUUUGUAUAAUGGGUCAGCGACUUAUAUUCUGUAGCAAGGUUAACCGAAUAGGGGAGCCGAAGGGAAACCGAGUCUUAACUGGGCGUUAAGUUGCAGGGUAUAGACCCGAAACCCGGUGAUCUAGCCAUGGGCAGGUUGAAGGUUGGGUAACACUAACUGGAGGACCGAACCGACUAAUGUUGAAAAAUUAGCGGAUGACUUGUGGCUGGGGGUGAAAGGCCAAUCAAACCGGGAGAUAGCUGGUUCUCCCCGAAAGCUAUUUAGGUAGCGCCUCGUGAAUUCAUCUCCGGGGGUAGAGCACUGUUUCGGCAAGGGGGUCAUCCCGACUUACCAACCCGAUGCAAACUGCGAAUACCGGAGAAUGUUAUCACGGGAGACACACGGCGGGUGCUAACGUCCGUCGUGAAGAGGGAAACAACCCAGACCGCCAGCUAAGGUCCCAAAGUCAUGGUUAAGUGGGAAACGAUGUGGGAAGGCCCAGACAGCCAGGAUGUUGGCUUAGAAGCAGCCAUCAUUUAAAGAAAGCGUAAUAGCUCACUGGUCGAGUCGGCCUGCGCGGAAGAUGUAACGGGGCUAAACCAUGCACCGAAGCUGCGGCAGCGACGCUGAUGCGUUGUUGGGUAGGGGAGCGUUCUGUAAGCCUGCGAAGGUGUGCUGUGAGGCAUGCUGGAGGUAUCAGAAGUGCGAAUGCUGACAUAAGUAACGAUAAAGCGGGUGAAAAGCCCGCUCGCCGGAAGACCAAGGGUUCCUGUCCAACGUUAAUCGGGGCAGGGUGAGUCGACCCCUAAGGCGAGGCCGAAAGGCGUAGUCGAUGGGAAACAGGUUAAUAUUCCUGUACUUGGUGUUACUGCGAAGGGGGGACGGAGAAGGCUAUGUUGGCCGGGCGACGGUUGUCCCGGUUUAAGCGUGUAGGCUGGUUUUCCAGGCAAAUCCGGAAAAUCAAGGCUGAGGCGUGAUGACGAGGCACUACGGUGCUGAAGCAACAAAUGCCCUGCUUCCAGGAAAAGCCUCUAAGCAUCAGGUAACAUCAAAUCGUACCCCAAACCGACACAGGUGGUCAGGUAGAGAAUACCAAGGCGCUUGAGAGAACUCGGGUGAAGGAACUAGGCAAAAUGGUGCCGUAACUUCGGGAGAAGGCACGCUGAUAUGUAGGUGAGGUCCCUCGCGGAUGGAGCUGAAAUCAGUCGAAGAUACCAGCUGGCUGCAACUGUUUAUUAAAAACACAGCACUGUGCAAACACGAAAGUGGACGUAUACGGUGUGACGCCUGCCCGGUGCCGGAAGGUUAAUUGAUGGGGUCAGCGCAAGCGAAGCUCUUGAUCGAAGCCCCGGUAAACGGCGGCCGUAACUAUAACGGUCCUAAGGUAGCGAAAUUCCUUGUCGGGUAAGUUCCGACCUGCACGAAUGGCGUAAUGAUGGCCAGGCUGUCUCCACCCGAGACUCAGUGAAAUUGAACUCGCUGUGAAGAUGCAGUGUACCCGCGGCAAGACGGAAAGACCCCGUGAACCUUUACUAUAGCUUGACACUGAACAUUGAGCCUUGAUGUGUAGGAUAGGUGGGAGGCUUUGAAGUGUGGACGCCAGUCUGCAUGGAGCCGACCUUGAAAUACCACCCUUUAAUGUUUGAUGUUCUAACGUUGACCCGUAAUCCGGGUUGCGGACAGUGUCUGGUGGGUAGUUUGACUGGGGCGGUCUCCUCCUAAAGAGUAACGGAGGAGCACGAAGGUUGGCUAAUCCUGGUCGGACAUCAGGAGGUUAGUGCAAUGGCAUAAGCCAGCUUGACUGCGAGCGUGACGGCGCGAGCAGGUGCGAAAGCAGGUCAUAGUGAUCCGGUGGUUCUGAAUGGAAGGGCCAUCGCUCAACGGAUAAAAGGUACUCCGGGGAUAACAGGCUGAUACCGCCCAAGAGUUCAUAUCGACGGCGGUGUUUGGCACCUCGAUGUCGGCUCAUCACAUCCUGGGGCUGAAGUAGGUCCCAAGGGUAUGGCUGUUCGCCAUUUAAAGUGGUACGCGAGCUGGGUUUAGAACGUCGUGAGACAGUUCGGUCCCUAUCUGCCGUGGGCGCUGGAGAACUGAGGGGGGCUGCUCCUAGUACGAGAGGACCGGAGUGGACGCAUCACUGGUGUUCGGGUUGUCAUGCCAAUGGCACUGCCCGGUAGCUAAAUGCGGAAGAGAUAAGUGCUGAAAGCAUCUAAGCACGAAACUUGCCCCGAGAUGAGUUCUCCCUGACUCCUUGAGAGUCCUGAAGGAACGUUGAAGACGACGACGUUGAUAGGCCGGGUGUGUAAGCGCAGCGAUGCGUUGAGCUAACCGGUACUAAUGAACCGUGAGGCUUAACCUUACAACGCCGAAG
rnacentral:rRNA from 1 species